GACGAACGCUGGCGGCGUGCUUAACACAUGCAAGUCGAGCGGAGCGGCGAACGGGUGAGUAACGCGUGAGUAACUGCCCCCCUCCCUGGGGUAACAGUUGGAAACGGCUGCUAAUACCGGAUAGUGGGGGAUGACUCGCGUCCUAUCAGCUUGUUGGUGGGGUAGUGGCCUACCAAGGCGACGACGGGUAGCCGGCCUGGGAGGGCGACCGGCCACAUGGGGCUGAGAUACGGCCCAGACUCGUACGUGGGGCAGGAGUGGGGAAUAUGGCACAGUGGGGGAAACCCUGAUGCAGCAACGCCGCGGGCGGGAUGACGGCUUGCGGGUUGUAAACCGCUUGCAGCCAUGACGCGGUAGUGGCAGAAGAAGCACCGGCUAACUACGUGCCAGCAGCCGCGGUAAUAC
rnacentral:rRNA from 1 species